GCUCUCAUAGCUCAAUUGGAUAAAGUGCCCGCUUAGGGAGCGGAGGUUUUGAGUUCGACUCUCAAUGAGAUUA
rnacentral:tRNA from 1 species